UACGUAGGGUGCAAGCGUUAAUCGGAAUUACUGGGCGUAAAGCGUGCGCAGGCGGCGCGUUAAGACAGGUGUGAAAGCCCCGAGCUUAACUUGGGAAUUGCGCUUGUGACUGGCGUGCUGGAGUGUGGCAGGGGGAGGUGGAAUUCCACGUGUAGCAGUGAAAUGAGUAGAGAUGUGGAGGAACACCGAUGGCGAAGGCAGCCUCCUGGGCCAGCACUGACGCUCAUGCACGAAAGCGUGGGGAGCAAACAGG
rnacentral:rRNA from 1 species